CUGAAACUUGCUUCCCCUUGUCCACUCUUAGAAUUUCUAGGAUUCUCGAAGCCCUUUUCUGUGCUAAUGUGCUACCCAAAAGUGUUAACUCGAGCAAUGAUGAUACAAUUCCUGCCUCAAUCAUGGCCUGUCGAUCCCCGUAGGCUUUGUGCGCCAUCACCAUCAAUAUAUAAGAUGCUUUCUCUUGGCAUCCUGGCGAGUCAGUCCAAUUCAAAACAUCUAUCAAAAUUGGGAAAGCAUCUGGUACAAUACUAAUGGCCCUUCUACCAUCUGGAGUGGAAGCUGCAUUGCUCAAAAUCGAAAGAAUUCUUUCACUUACUUCCAUGUCUCCCAGCAUAUUCAUAAGAAAAGGGAUCAAAUUUGUUUCUAUAAUAAAUGAAACAUUGGAUGAGGAUAUUGAAAGGUUGUACAGAGCUCUAAGAGCAUCUUGUUUCGCUUGGUGGCUACUUUUAUGGCCAAAAUCCUUAAGAGCAUUUACCAAGAAAGGGAUUGCACCUGAAGAACCUAUAAUGGGCUUAUUUGGGUCCAAUGCACUCAAGCCUAGAAAAUUUGCCACUAUUGCUUCAGAUAGAGAUGGGUUAGGAGGACUUGGAGAUUCUAUGAUCUUCAGCAUUUUGUGAACAGCCCCUGCUUUAACAAUUGCAGCUUUGUUCGCAUCAUUGCCGAUCCCAAGAUUGAGCAAGGCAUAUAGAGAAGCGAUCUGAGACUCGACAUCUUCCACAUCAAGCAUUCCAACUAGAGGAGGAAUGGCUCCUAACAUAGCGAGAGUGACUCU
rnacentral:misc_RNA from 1 species